rnacentral:lncRNA from 1 species
CCUGGUUUGUGGAAACGCAGCCGGUGCAGUGCUUUGGCACGAGGACACCUGGGUGUGGGGAGAAGACAAUGGGGCAGGGGCACUGAUAGGGCUGCUGGCCACAUGCAGCCUCACCUGGGACCCCCACCCACCCAUGGGCAAGGAUCCCUAUAAGAUCAGUGUCCAGGCACUACACCUGGUUCUGCUUCCUUGAUAGAUGCUGACCUCCCUGCAGCUCUUUCAUGGACUUCUCACCCUGCCAUGGACUUCUCACCCUGCCAUGGACUUCUCACCCUGCCAUGGACCUUGGUGGAAGCCCUUCAACUCAAAAAAAUGAAAUUCCACGUGGAGGAGGAGGCAAUUAUCAGCUCAGGGAGAAGCGCAUGCUUGAGAAGGAUGGGAAAGUCCAACACCACUUUUACUCCAGGAAAACAAACAAACUACAAAACUUAAUUGCUUUGCAGACAGCAGCUCUUGUGCCAGGGCGGUUUAUCUCAGCAAUAGCAAUCAAGGCUCCUGCUUGGAUGUGGGCAGCUGCUGGGGGGCAGCUAGCAGCGCUCCAAAAAGUCUCCUGGUGUCAGCGGGCAGCUGAGAGUGGGCAAGAGAUGUGCAAGCAGAAGGAUAACAGGGGGAAAGCAGCAGUUUGAAUGCAGCCCAACUCCUGGUCUGCGAGGGCUUGACAUAAGUAUUUAAGCCUUUGGAUGGGAUCUGGUGAUAGCGGAGGGCUGGAAAGCGCGCUGCUUUUGUGGUUAAAAGUCCUUUUGUCGGUCCAUAAAUCCCGAGCGAGCUCUGUUUAUUCUGUUUACUGCAGUUACCCAACCCGUGAGCCGCUGUGUAAAUCAUGGCACGCUGUGAUUUAGAGUGGAGCUGCUCUGCCCGUGGCGUGUGCAGCGUGUCCCUGGCCAGACCCCCACGCAGACGUCCCACUCCUCCAGAAGCCGGCAGAUAAGGGCAAUAAAAGCCACAGCUCUCUCCCA